rnacentral:lncRNA from 1 species
GGAGGAACGGGCUAUCGCCGAAGGCUUUCCGUGCACAACUCCCGGCCACCUUUCUCUGCAGCCGAGUCCUGCAGCACAAUAAGCGAUCGCUGCAGAACACGGCACCGAGAGCUCUCCAAGGACCGCCACGUGCACGCUUUGCUGCUGGGCGGUUGCCUGCAGAGGCACCAGGCUGCGAGGCUUGGCGGAGGAGGAGCGUGCCCUGCCACCCUUAACAGGGACUGUGUGUUCGUCCUGCCCGCGGUGGCUGUUCCUGGAAGACAGGGGUGGGUGCGUGGGGCUGACCUUCGCCCCGCGUCCUGCUGCUGCCGCUCCCCUGUCCCUGGCAAGGUUGUGCGUGGGUGGUUGGAGCCAGGAAGCACGGGGGAAAUAAUAGGUGUAAACGUGCUCAGAGUGGGGGACGGGGAGAAAAGUAAAAGAGCGCUCCACAGGAUUCAGAAUUAGACCACCCACCUGGUAAGGGGCACGGCAUAAGAAGCAACCCCCAGGAAAACAGCGUUGGAGGAUCUGGAGCUCAGGACAUCUCAGAGCUUCUUCCUGCUGCUGUGCGGCUGGCCGAGAGCACAUCUCCCUUGAUUCCAGAACGUACAAGGUAAGAAAUGAGGUUUCUUCUCAUUAAUACAAUUGAAGCCCUGCCGAUGAUCGUUGGGGGAUGCUUGCUAAUUUUCUGUUAUUGUGUAGCUGAUUUUCAGUAUCUGUCAUCCUGAUGGAUGAUGAUGAUACAGUCUUCAAAAUACCCCAACAAAAGCAAGGCUGCUCACUAUUUACCAAGCUGACUUCCUCGCCUCACUGCAUAGCUAUAAACAAGGCUCUGGCUGUUGUGGUAACCCUUGACCUCAACUUCCUAUGCUUUUCCACACACUAAUAAACUCUUAUCUGAGACAGAGGAACGUUGAAAA